rnacentral:lncRNA from 1 species
UCAGAUUUAUUUUUUGGCCUCUUCGUGUCUGAGGUUAAUGAGCAUGAAAAGAUAUAACCUGCUAUGAUAAAACAGCGAAGCCUUUAAAAUCCGUUAUAGCUGAGCAAGAUUGUGUGAUUUGUGUCUCUAUAGCGAAUGAUUGUAUAUUUAUUUCAUUUACCAAGGCAUUACUUAGAACGUUAUAGAGUGCUAUUAGUAACGUUAUAGGGUGCUAUUUUUUCAUUGAUGAUGCGACAAAUUCCUACAAUUUUGAAAGGGAAGAUUGUGUGUAAGUGUCAAAAGUCGGAACCCCUAAUAUCUUAGAUGAAUGCUAGU